rnacentral:rRNA from 1 species
AGAGUUUGAUCCUGGCUCAGGAUGAACGCUAGCGGCAGGCUUAAUACAUGCAAGUCGAGGGGUAGCAUGAUUGUAGCAAUACAAUUGAUGACGACCGGCAAACGGGUGCGGAACACGUACACAACCUUCCUACAAGUGGGGAAUAGCCCAGAGAAAUUUGGAUUAAUACCCCGUAACAUAGCGAUGUGGCAUCACAUUGCUAUUAUAGCUUCGGCGCUUGUUGAUGGGUGUGCGGCUGAUUAGAUAGUUGGCGGGGUAACGGCCCACCAAGUCUACGAUCAGUAGCUGAUGUGAGAGCAUGAUCAGCCACACGGGCACUGAGACACGGGCCCGACUCCUACGGGAGGCAGCAGUAAGGAAUAUUGGACAAUGGACGCAAGUCUGAUCCAGCCAUGCCGCGUGAAGGAUUAAGGUCCUCUGGAUUGUAAACUUCUUUUAUAAGGGACGAAAAAAGGUCUUUCUAGAUCGUCUGACGGUACCUUAUGAAUAAGCACCGGCUAACUCCGUGCCAAGCAGCCGCGGUAAUACGGAGGGUGCAAGCGUUAU